UUUGCAAGCGCCAAGAAAAUAUACUUGUUGCCUUAUAUAUCCGGGUAAGUGAACUUUGUUAACAUAAUAAAGUUCCAUAUGUGAUUUUAAUAUUUAAUAGUUACGUUAUUAUGAAUUUCAGGCGCCAUUGGCAACUUCUUGUUAUUUCUAUGCACGAGAGCUAUGCUUUAUGGUUCUGCUCAUUGCACAGGUCUCCUCCC
rnacentral:lncRNA from 1 species